rnacentral:rRNA from 1 species
AUACGGAGGGGGCUAGCGUUGUUCGGAAUUACUGGGCGUAAAGCGCACGUAGGCGGUUUAUCUAGUUAGGCGUGAAAGCCCCAGGCUCAACCUGGGAACUGCGUUUAAUACUGAUAAACUAGAGACCGGGAGAGGGUGGCGGAAUUCCCAGUGUAGAGGUGAAAUUCGUAGAUAUUGGGAAGAACACCGGUUGCGAAGGCGGCCACCUGGACCGGAACUGACGCUGAGGUGCGAAAGCGUGGGGAGCAAACAGGAUUAGAAACCCCGGUAGUCC